CUGGAAGGCCGCAGUGAGGUCACCCCAGAGCUUCUCCAGGCUGAGCAAUCCCAGCUCUCCCAGCCUCUCCUUGUGCUCCAUCCUGCUAAUCCUCCUCUGGACUUGCUCCAACAGGAUAUUCCACGAUGGAUCCAUGCAGGGCUGUACAACUGCUGCUCCACAGAACCACUGGGCUCUAAAAACAGCUCUCACUGAAGGACUGGCUGCCCUUUCCUGGUGAAAUGAAGGAUCCUGCUCUCCUAAGCAUGGCUGAAACAUCUUGACCUGUUUUUGCCCCACAAAACCUCCCUGCUCCCUCUCCUUCCCCUGCCCCGGAGCUUUCUGCCCUGGGCAGCAUUUGCUGAAGUGGGAGCUCCUCUCCCCGCUCCCUGCACAUCAUCAAAAUUCAUGUGCUUCACCAGCAGAGCCCCUGGGGAGAGCUGUGGCCAUCCAGAGCGGGAUCCAGCCCUGCAAAAUCCUCUCCCGUGGGCUCCGGGAGCCGAGGGUUUGCCACGAGAGGGGGGUAUGAGCCCACGGAGGGUGCAGCGCUGGCUCGGGGUGCCCUCCUGCCCAGGGAUGGCAGCUCCAGGUGCGCUCGGGGCUCACCUGGCCAGGACGGGCUCAGCCCUCGGGAUUUGCUCCCGGAUGAGCCGCUGAGAGGGAGCUAAAGCAGGAGGGAUUGUCCUGGCUGCAAUCUGGGCAAGGAAUGCUGCGCUCACACCCCCGCGCCUCGCUGGGCUGGGUAAAAGCAGCGUUUUCCUUGGCCCACAUGCAAAGACUGAAAUGCUCAAUGAAGGGCUUGGAUGUUCACAUCUCCUCCUGUGUGGAAUAUUCCCUCCCACAUCAGAGAAGAAGGGAAGGAAAUACAGAAAAACAAAUCUUCAUCUUAUCUUUUGGAGGAAGAAAAUCCUUAACAUUCACUGGACUUUAAAUCCUGAACUCAGUUUUGUGACUGGGGCCUGUUAUGUACCUUUAUAAACCAAAUUAUUUUUAUCCAACAAACCGUUUUAUAGCAAAGCUGACUCCAGGGAGGGGCUGUCCAUGGGAUCCAAAUCCUGCUCUCCUCGUUUUGGGGCAUUUUCCUGGGGAUUUGAUUCCUUGGGAGCAGGUUCUGGGUCUGUGGAGUCAGGCCACGCACGUGCUGUGCAGUUGAAUUCUUGUGUGAAAUAUCCUUUCUGGUCUGGCUGCUGCAGGGAGAUUAGGAAUAAUCCCCACUCCCCAUCCAUCAAACUUAAUUAGGGCCAUUUCCUAACGAGCCUUUGGGAAGACUGAGCACCUUGUCAUCACUUCCAGGAGGGAGAAGGACCCACAGCCUCCUGCCAGGGCUGGGGCUGGCUCCAGGGUGGGCUGCAAAAUCCCAGCAAACAUCAGGAGUCCAAAAAAAAAAUCUCAAAAAGCAGAAAAUGCCCAGAUUUCAGGGAAACUCACUGAUAUUGUGCUCAGUGCUCUGCUCCUGACCUGGUUUCCUGCCUCUGCCUCCCAGAAUUUGGGAGAUCCUGGGCAGUUCUUGCCCUGUUUUUCUCUGAAGUGGCUGUGCUUUAUUUUUCCUGAGAAAGGCUUUGUUUUUUAGGAGCUGUCAAUUGAAAUAGAAACGGAAUCUGUUCCAGGGAGGGUGUUGGUUGGAUGAGCGUCUCGAUUUAUUUAUUUUAUUAGUAUUUGUUAGUUUUUACAUUGUUUAUGCGUCCCUUAGGUCCCAUCCCAAGGAAAACAUGGAGGGGAGGGGUUAAGCUAAAGCAACUGUCUUUUGAAAUGUCCAUUAAUCUCCAUUUGUACAGGAGAAGCUUUUUCCAGAGGUCACAAUCCAAACGUGUCCCAGUUAUCCUGCUCGGUUGUCCCUCACUCUCUGAUUUAGCACCUUGACAAAAUGUCCUGCAUUUGAUUUUUUUUCUCCUGUCAUUUGGGGUUUCCUGGAUUGGUUUGGGGUUUUAUCUGGGGAAGCCAGUGGUGACCCCACAGCAGGGCAGGGGGGGAUUCUGCCCUGCUCAGGUGAGACCCCACCUGCAGAGCACCUGGAG